CCUGCAGCAGUGAGGAAUAUUGGUCAAUGGGCGGUAGCCUGAACCAGCCAAGUAGCGCGAAGGAUGAAGGUUCUAUGGAUUGUAAACUUCUUUUAUAAAGGAAUAAAGUGAGGCACGUGUGCCUUUUUGUAUGUACUUUAUGAAUAAGGAUCGGCUAACUCCGUGCCAGCAGCCGCGGUAAUACGGAGGAUCCGAGCGUUAUCCGGAUUUAUUGGGUUUAAAGGGAGCGUAGAUGGGUUGUUAAGUCAGUUGUGAAAGUUUGCGGCUCAACCGUAAAAUUGCAAUUGAUACUGGCGUCCUUGAGU
rnacentral:rRNA from 1 species